GUGUAACAGGGCAUUUAAAGCCAUAACAGGCAAGGUCAAUAUGCCUGUUUGUUGGUGCUGGUUGGUGAACAAACAUCACAGAGAAGAUUUUUUUGCAUUUAGGGAGAAUAUUUUGUAGGAAGAGGAUGAGUCAGAAUGGAAGGGGACCUGAGACAACAAGCAGAAGGCAAACAGAGACAUUAUUCACUAGGAGGGCACUUUGUGAAGUCAAAACAAUGGCGUCUGGUCCAUCUAAUUUUCAGAGGUUCCCAUGGAUCUGAAGUCACUUGGAAGAAUUUCCUGGCACUUAAAAGGGUCUGCUUCUGCAACUUAUUUAAAGAGCCUUUUAAAUUUCAAGACUGACAUUUGCUUAAUGAAAUACGUGAAGCAAACUAUCAGAUUCUUUUUCUUUCUUAGCUAUCGAUGAGUCUUUCCUGAUUGUGUCUCACAGUCAAAGAGUUGGAAGGGAUCUAAGAGAACAACUAAUCCAAACUCUCCAUUUUAUAGAUUAGAAAAAUAAGUCCCAGAAAGAAAAUAAUUUUUUGAGGUCAUAGCUGAUCAGUAUUACAUCUCAGAUUACAAUUUCAGCUUGAAAAGAAACCAAAGGAAACAAGGCAUGAUAUAAUAUAAAGAUCUCCAAAAUAGGGACCUAGAUUCCAGUUCUAGGUUCCAGAAAAUCUAGAUUCUGGUUCUAGCUCUGCAACAAAUGGCCUAGGUGACCAUAAAUCAGGUUUCCAUUCUAGGCUUUAGUUUUCCCAUCUUCAGUGAGGGAGUUAGAAGUUCUCCCAGCUCUGAUAUUCAAAAAACCUUUAAUAGGAAUAUCUAUUUCACUAAAUAAGAGCAUCACCUUAAAAAAGGCAGUAGACACAAUGGGUAGGUCUCUAGGUUUGGAAUUAUGAAAAUUUGAAUUCAAAUUCUGCCACAGACACAAACUAGCUGUGCAAGUCUGUUUACCUUUUAUUUUAUUUUUUUUACCUUUUUCUUAUCUAUCAAAUGGAAAGAAUAAUACCCCUCCCUCAAGUCCCAGGAUUGUUUUGAGGAUUAAAUGCAAUAAUAUUAGCAGUGUACUUUGCAAGUCUUUUUUAUUUUAUUUUAUUUUAAUUUUUUUCCUUUUUUAUCAAUACUAUGAGUGUAAUAACAGGGGCCAUUGGCACUUGACACCAAGCACUUAGAAGUAUGAAUCCUAAGUUUUAGGGUUGAAAAGGCUUUCUGAGGUCAUCCUCAUCUGAAUGCUUCUUUUUAGAAAUGAGGCCUGAGAAUGGAAGUUCAUUUCCAAUCAUCACACAGGUUACAGAUAGUAAGGCCCCUGACUCCAAGUACAAUGUACUUUUCAUGUCAUUUUGAUUCUCUCAAGGACAAAGGACAACAAUCAUCCAUUAUACCAGAUUAUUUCUUGAAUGGGUGCUUUAGGUGAUCGAUUAUUAAAUAAUCAAAGCAGAUGAGCAUAUAUUUGAUGUUUACUUAUCUGGGUACAUGGUACCUCCCUCCAAUAGAACAUACAGUCCAUAGGAAAAAGUACUGUUUAGUUUUUGCCUUUAUAUCCCUAAUCAUCUAGCACAAAGCUUCUAAAACUGUGGGUUUUAAACUCAUGUGGGAAUUGCAAAACUGAAUGUGGGGGUCAUUUAUUAUCAGUUAAUGUGUGAUUUGUGUAACUGUUUUAUAAACCUAUAUGACUGGAGUCAAAUUUUUUUCAUAACAUUUUCUUGAGCAAAAAAGGGUUGUGAGUGUAAAAAGUUAAAGAAGCCUGAUCUACCACAGCGCCUGGCACAUAAAUAUAUAAACUAAUGAAUAAAUUUUAUAAAACACUUUUAAGUUUUACAGAGUGUUUUCCCCACAACAACCAUGUGAGAUACUCCCCUUUUACAUAUACAUAAAAUUAAGCCUCUAUUUUUUUAUUGUGCAUUAUUGCUGGGUACCAAGAAGCAUUUCUAUCAUCUAUGCAGCAAUAUUUUUGUUAGAGUUAAAGUUUACAAGCUGUGCUCCAGAAGGACAUUUUUCACCUUCCAAUACAAAGUUAGCUGAAUUUUGAAGGCUGAGAGCUUUAAACUUCAUUUUUUCAUGCUGCCCUCUUCAUAGCCUGCAGUCAUCCCUCACUAUAAAAGGGAAGCUGUGCAAAACAUGGUAGUGUCCUUGACCUUAGGAAAUCAGAAGAGGAAGAAGCCAAGAUUGCCAACAGCAAAAGACCUACCCUAAAAGAUACAGAAAUAACUGGGUAUCCUUAGUGCAGUUAAUAAUGACUUCUCCAUGUACAUAAUGUGGACUAAUGGGAUCCCCUGCAGUGAGACUGACUCUGGGAAAGCUUUUCUGCAUACCUUCAUAUUCCAAGAAAGCUCUGGGUAAGGCGGGGAUGGAAAGUGUGGGUGGGAAUGUGUUGGAGGCUCUCUAUUUUUGAGAAAAUAGUUGGGCUAAGAGGCUCUAACAUUUGCUUUAAGGGUUUCAAGUCAAGGGCACAUCAUUGGGGUAUUAUGAAUGUCCAACGCUUGCUGGUGAUCAUUUUUAAAGUUUUCUUUUUAAUUGUAAUUGUCAACAAACAAUUCAUAUGAAAAUGAAUAAGAAAGAGAUAUAAGAAAUUACAAGUUGAUCUUCAGCAAUGAGAGAAUC